UAGGAUGUUACGAUUGUGUGAAUACAUAGCACAUUCGAGGUAGACGCAGAGAACUGAAACAUCUAAGUACCUGCAGGAAGAGAAAGAAAAUUCGAUUCCCUGAGUAGCGGCGAGCGAAACGGGAAAAGCCCAAACCAGCAAGCUUGCUUGUUGGGGUUGUAGGACUCCAAUAUGGUAGUUCUUUCAGAUAGUCGAAUGACUUGGAAAAGUCAGUCAAAGAGGGUAAAAACCCCGUAGACGAAAUGUGGAAGACACCUAGGAGGAUCCUGAGUACGGCGGAACACGAGAAAUUCCGUCGGAAUCCGGGAGGACCAUCUCCCAAGGCUAAAUACUCCCUAGUGACCGAUAGUGAACCAGUACCGUGAGGGAAAGGUGAAAAGCACCCCGGAAGGGGAGUGAAAUAGAACCUGAAACCGUGUGCCUACAACAAGUCAAAGCCCGUUAAUGGGUGAUGGCGUGCCUUUUGUAGAAUGAACCGGCGAGUUACGAUUGCAUGCGAGGUUAAGUUGAAGAGACGGAGCCGCAGCGAAAGCGAGUCUGAAUAGGGCGUUUGAGUAUGUAGUCGUAGACCCGAAACCAUGUGAUCUACCCAUGUCCAGGUUGAAGGUGCGGUAAAACGCACUGGAGGACCGAACCCACGUACGUUGAAAAGUGCGGGGAUGAGGUGUGGGUAGCGGAGAAAUUCCAAACGAACUUGGAGAUAGCUGGUUCUCUCCGAAAUAGCUUUAGGGCUAGCCUCGGAAUUGAGAAUGAUGGAGGUAGAGCACUGUUUGGACUAGGGGCCCAUCUCGGGUUACCGAAUUCAGAUAAACUCCGAAUGCCAUUCAUUCAUAUCCGGGAGUCAGACUGUGAGUGAUAAGAUCCAUAGUCGAAAGGGAAACAGCCCAGACCACCAGCUAAGGUCCCAAAAUAUAUGUUAAGUGGAAAAGGAUGUGGGGUUGCACAGACAACUAGG
rnacentral:rRNA from 1 species